GAUUCAGCAAUUUGCUCAGGUCCAUUUCCGGCUCCAAACCAUGGUACGAUCUAUGACCACGACCGUACCAGGCAUAGUAGCCCUAACAGAUAUCUAAAGUCACGAUAUUACUUAGCCACGGGUGACCCCUACAUAUAAUGCGAUACCACUCUCAUCAGAGGGUAUGUUGUUAUCCACUUAAAGUGGUCCUCUUACGUCUUUUCAGACCAGAUAAGGGAGGAAAAAACAGAU
rnacentral:lncRNA from 1 species